rnacentral:lncRNA from 1 species
GACAAUGGACAGGUGACACCUAAUGGACAAGUGACAAUGGGACAGGUGACAAUGGACAGGUGACAUUGGACAGGUGGCACCCAAUGGACAGGUGACACCUUGGGGACACCUGGAUAAGGGACACCAAAUGGACAGGUGACAUUGGACAGGUGACAUCAGAACAGGUGACAUCAGAACAGGUGACAUUGGACAGGUGACAAAGGGACAGGUGGGACAGGUGACACCUUGGGGACACCAGGACAGGUGAC